GUUGGCCGAGGGCUAGGGAGCCGGGCUGUUCCACGCUCACUGCGCGCCUCGGGCGGCGGGGCGCGGGCUCUGUCCGAGGUGCUGAACUCCGGAGCUCCGGCCGCGCCGGCAGAGUGUGCCAGCGUCCAUUAUUGCCAGUGUCUGUGGGCAUCUUCCAGAAGGCCGAGCAUGGGGGUCAGGUGAAACCAGGGCGCUCCCAAGCACCUUGCCCAGUAGAACCCCCUUGCACCCUGCUUGGUUGGUCAGCACCCCAUGGACAUGCAGCCUUGACCUUGGCAUGGGGAGCCUCCACUGUGUCAAGCCCAACAUCCAGGCCUCUGAAGACAGUCAUUCAGGUUUUCCAGGAGAGAAUCCACUUUUUGUUUUAUCUGGGACAACUCCUUCAUAAUGGCCUGAAGGUCAUCUCCUUUCAACUUUCCAGACUUGGAAGAUCCCUGCUGUCCACUCUUAGAAUUGAGGCCACUUUUGCCCCUUCGUGAGUUGUUUCCUGAUACACGCUGACAUUUUGAGAGCACUACAGCCCAAGCAAUAGGAAGAGGAGGAGGCACGCGUGCUGAG
rnacentral:lncRNA from 1 species